rnacentral:rRNA from 1 species
AGUGGCGGACGGGUGAGUAACGCGUGGGUAACCUGCCUUAUACAGGGGGAUAACAGUUGGAAACGACUGCUAAUACCGCAUAAGCGCACAGUGCCGCAUGGCACAGUGUGAAAAACUCCGGUGGUAUAAGAUGGACCCGCGUCUGAUUAGCUAGUUGGUGAGGUAACGGCUCACCAAGGCGACGAUCAGUAGCCGGCUUGAGAGAGUGAUCGGCCACAUUGGGACUGAGACACGGCCCAAACUCCUACGGGAGGCAGCAGUGGGGAAUAUUGCACAAUGGGGGAAACCCUGAUGCAGCAACGCCGCGUGAGUGAAGAAGUAUUUCGGUAUGUAAAGCUCUAUCAGCGGGGAAGAUAAUGACGGUACCUGACUAAGAAGCCCCGGCUAACUACGUGCCAGCAGCCGCGGUAAUACGUAGGGGGCAAGCGUUAUCCGGAUUUACCGGGUGUAAAGGGAGCGUAGGCGGCUUGGCAAGUCUGAUGUGAAAGCCCAGGGCUCAACCCUGGGACUGCAUUGGAAACUGUCAGGCUAGAGUGCAGGAGAGGUAAGUGGAAUUCCUAGUGUAGCGGUGAAAUGCGUAGAUAUUAGGAGGAACACCAGUGGCGAAGGCGGCUUACUGGACUGUAACUGACGCUGAGGCUCGAAAGCGUGGGGAGCAAACAGGAUUAGAUACCCUGGUAGUCCACGCUGUAAACGAUGAAUACUAGGUGU